UGGGUGUGAAGAGAGCAGAGCGCUUGAAGAGUGGCUGCUCUGUGUAUAACACAUCCAACAGCAACUGGGCUUACUCUCUACAGGUGGCAGGAUACUGUGGCCUUCCUGUGAUAUUACACCCUAUCCAU